ACCUGGCUGGCUCAUUUGGUGGAGCAUGUGACUCUCGAUCUUGGGGAUGUGGGUUCAAGCCCCACGCUGGGGC
rnacentral:tRNA from 1 species